rnacentral:rRNA from 1 species
UACGUAGGGGGGCUAGCGUUGUCCGGAAUCAUUGGGCGUAAAGCGCGUGUAGGUGGCCCGGUAAGUCCGCUGUGAAAGUCGAGGGCUCAACCCUCGAAAGCCGGUGGAUACUGUCGGGCUCGAGUGCGGGAGAGGCGAGUGGAAUUCCUGGUGUAGCGGUGAAAUGCGCAGAUAUCAGGAGGAACACCGAUUGCGAAGGCAGCUCGCUGGAACGUAACUGACGCUGAGACGCGAAAGCGUGGGGAGCAAACAGG